rnacentral:lncRNA from 1 species
GACCUUAUGUGUGGCGUCUCUCCAAACCCCCUCGACCGUUCGGACUUCUCCGACAAUAAACUUCUACACUCAUCCACUAGGCCACCCCAAAGGCCCUCCGGGCCCCACUGUUAGCUGACCUUCUACAGCAACCAACUAUUUUUCGAAUUUCUUCCAGACUUCGUCUGCAUCCGAGCUUCGCCGUCAGUGAGAUUUCUAUGGUAACCAGACUCCAUCCAAGUUUCCAUGGUGGUCGACCGUCUUUCAGAUCCCAAUCGAGCUCCCGCAAGAGCCAAACUUCUACUACGAAUGGUCUACUCCGAACUCCUACAGCGGGCUGUCUAUCCCAGACAUCUACUGUAAGCAAAUUCCAUUCAAGCCUCUACUGUAAAUGAAUCUCCUCCGAACUUCUAUUACAGGUAGACUUCA